ACCUGAUGAUGUGGGCAUUUAUGAAGCAAGUCCCUAAAGCGCUCCUAGGUCUUAAAUAAAAGUUCCCCAUCCAUUUGUGUGAAACUUGUGAGUGCCCUUUGCAGCUU